rnacentral:rRNA from 1 species
UACGAAGGGGGCUAGCGUUGUUCGGAAUUACUGGGCGUAAAGCGCGCGCAGGUGGCCAUCCAAGUCAGGGGUGAAAGCCCGGAGCUCAACUCCGGAAUUGCCUUUGAAACUGUUUGGCUUGAGUACGGGAGAGGUGAGUGGAAUUCCCAGUGUAGAGGUGAAAUUCGUAGAUAUUGGGAAGAACACCGGUGGCGAAGGCGGCUCACUGGCCCGUUACUGACACUCAUGCGCGACAGCGUGGGGAU